AAAUGUGAUCAUCUUAGAGUCUGAAUUUCUCAUCCCAUGCACCAAGGAAAUAACUGUCAGCUCUGUGGCUGCAAAGGAUCAUGCAGGUAGGAAUAUAUAGUCUAAAAUAACUCAUAUGUAAUUCUGCUUUUCUUUUUUCCUAUAGAUUUCUUAGUAACCUGUACAGCUCUCUGCACUGGACUCCCCCUUUUCAGAGCAGUGAAAGCAUGCUGCACAGGAAUCACAGGUACGGCUGCUGAAUUGGGGUUCAUUGAAGCACAGCGAGCUCCACACUGACAUCAAACCUUGUGA
rnacentral:lncRNA from 1 species